AGUAAAGGAAGAGGAGAAAUAAGAGGAGGGAGAAGAGGAAGAGGAGGAGGGAGGGGGCGUGGAAGGAAAGAGAAGCAAAGCCAGAUUGUUCACAAGACUCAGGAUAUUUACCAAAAGGUGCUGGACAAUAAGUAAUAAGCCAGGAACUGGAUGAUUUCAAUGUAGUUGAUUCAUCAAGCAUUCGACAAAUCAGAGAGGAAGGGGAAAAAAGAAUGGCUGACUGUACCAGUACUGCAGAAGUUCGGACUAAGAGAGCACGGGCUGUAAUUACUCACUCACGGAAGACAGUGCCUACUAAGUUUCUUCCAAUACAAGGUUCCCUCCAAUCAUGGUGCUUAUGGAUAUGGGCAAGAAACAAAGAGAAGAAAUUUUAGAUUGCCAUGGGUAACAAAAUUGAAGAACAAGGAAAUAACAGGAAAGAGGAGGGGGGAAAACUUAAAAUGGGAGGGAUAGGGAGAGGAUGCUGACACAGGAUGGCAGAGGCUAAGGCUAAUGAAGGCCUCAGGAGGGCAGUGCAUUCCAAAUGGCACACUGUAGGCUUGUGGGGCCUAUCACAUGACUACUCCCUCUAGUCGGCGAGUGAUCGCGGGCGUCACACAAAUAAAUGGUUGUGUCUGUGGCAAAAAUAUUUAUAAAAUGGAUAGCUGAUUAAGCAAUCCCAGGUCACAGCUUUCCGAGCCUACUCUCAAGGCCACAAAACAAAUUACGUUUUCUAUGCCCACAUACAUAACAAUAUGAAACAUAAGCUCCACGGGCUGCAGGAGAAUCGAGGGGUGGGAGGAGCUGGACCGACGAAGGCGGAAUGUCAGUGAUUUAAAGCUCUUUAUUUAAUUUUCUGAAGUGAGGAUAUAACCUGCUCUGACUUACUAAAUGGUUCCGGGAGGUCCAGAAACUUCCCGACUACACAACGGGAACAUCGAGAGGCUGCAAAAUACCAAAAAUAGACAAUUCCAACAGGCCAGGUUGCCAACCCACAGUCUAACCAGCAAGCGCAGAGAAACAGGAUGCAAGGGCUAUAGCUGAGCUUAUACAGAGGAAGGGCAGCGAGAGCAAACUGGGAGUCCAAGGUCCCAGAAGGGCUUUCCUAGCGGGGUGAUACUUGAGUAACAGGGUAGAAGGAGGCUUAAUGGUGAUGAUAUCCGAAUCCUUUAAACAAAGAGCAACGGACGCAGAUGAAGCUUCCCGAAGUUGUAGUGGAGUUGACCCCAAAGGCUUUUACCCAGUUGAAGUCUUUCUUUAAAGAGGGGAAAAAAGAUAAUGGGGAUUUUUAAGUCCCAGAUCCUCUAAGCAUCCAGGAUUCGAUGAAGAGCGAAGGCCUGGGGACCCUCACAUGGAGUGCUAGCUUUUCUGUGCUAACCCGGUCACGUGGAAAGAACACGUUCCCUGAGGCAAUUCCCUGAGGGGCUUGAGAGUUCUCCCUUCCGCUGAGAUCGCCCUCGACCUUCGGCCUGCCCUUUUGCUGCGGCGGGAGGAUCAAAGCCGGGAUAGGAUGCACAAAGCCCACCGGACACACGAAAGCUGAGGAUACCUUGGAUGAAGCCCACCACAGCAGCCCUAGCCGCCAGCACCGUAGAGAUGAUGCGGGUCUAUUCACCCGCGAUCGCCCACCCAGGACCUCGGCUCCAGGACUCCUACUCACCUCACCCAGGGCCCAGGCUUCCGCGGUUACCAUGGCGACGGCGCACUUCGCGCAGCCGCGCCUGGCCCAGGUUCUGGCUGAGCGGGAAGGUCAAGGAUUGUCAAGACUUUAGAGUGGAAAAGCUAGAGGAAUUCUUCCGAGUAACGAAAAUCAGUGUUCUGAUGCUCAAAGAUUGUUUUAUUAGAGUUUAAGAGAAAAAAACAACAGGACAGGAAAGCUGCUAAGAAGAAGAUGAAGCAAGGCCCUGGGUUCGGUCCCCAGCUCCGAAAAAAAGAACCAAAAAAAAAAAAAAAAAAGAUGAAGAGGAGUGAGAAAGCCAUGCUGUUUUGAGUUAGAGUUCAAGAAAGCCAAUAAACUCAAGGAUAGAGCACUGA